rnacentral:tRNA from 1 species
CGGGUCAUAAGUUAAGUUAAACUGUCAGUCUUCAAAACUGAAAAUACCACGAUGUUGACCUGA